AUUGAACGCUGGCGGCAGGCCUAACACAUGCAAGUCGAGCGGCAGCGGGAAGUAGCUUGCUACUUUGCCGGCGAGCGGCGGACGGGUGAGUAAUGUCUGGGAAACUGCCUGAUGGAGGGGGAUAACUACUGGAAACGGUAGCUAAUACCGCAUAACGUCGCAAGACCAAAGAGGGGGACCUUCGGGCCUCUUGCCAUCAGAUGUGCCCAGAUGGGAUUAGCUAGUAGGUGGGGUAACGGCUCACCUAGGCGACGAUCCCUAGCUGGUCUGAGGGGAUGACCAGCCACACUGGAACGGGGACACGGUCCAGACUCCUACGGGAGGCAGCAGUGGGGAAUAUUGCACAAUGGGCGCAAGCCUGAUGCAGCCAUGCCGCGUGUAUGAAGAAGGCCUUCGGGUUGUAAAGUACUUUCAGCGGGGAGGAAGGUGCUGAGGUUAAUAACCUCAGCAAUUGACGUUACCCGCAGAAGAAGCACCGGCUAACUCCGUGCCAGCAGCCGCAGUAA
rnacentral:rRNA from 1 species